AGAGUUUGAUCAUGGCUCAGAGUGAACGCUGGCGGCGUGGAUUAGGCAUGCAAGUCGAGCGAUGAUUUUAAAGACAAAGCCGCAAGGCCGAGUUGAUUUUAUCAUAGCGGCAAACGGGUGAGUAACACGUGAGUAAUUUUCCCUAAAGACGGACAUAGCUUCGUGAAAACGGAGGUAAUAUCCGAUGUUGUAUUGAAAUCGCAUGGUUCUAAUACUAAAGGCAGGGACCUUCGGGCCUGCCACUUUGGGAUAAGCUCGCGUCCUAUCAGCUAGUUGGUAAGGUAAUGGCUUACCAAGGCAUUUGACGGGUAGCUGGUCUGAGAGGAUGGUCAGCCACACUGGGACUGAGACACUGCCCAGACUCCUACGGGAGGCUGCAGUCGAGAAUCUUUAGCAAUGGACGAAAGUCUGACUACGCGACGCCGCGUGCAGGAUGAAGGUUUUCGGAUUGUAAACUGCUUUUGUUUGGAAAGAAACCUAUGAGGCAAAUAACUUCAUAGCUGACGGUACCAGACGAAUAAGCCACGGCCAACUCCGUGCCAGCAGCCGCGGUAAUACGGAGGUGGCAAGCGUUACUCGGAAUUAUUGGGUGUAAAGGGCAAGUAGGCGGUUUAUUAAGUGAGAGGUGAAAUCUUCCGACUUAAUCGGGAAAUAGCCUUUCAAACUAGUAGACUUGAGAUUGGAAGAGGGAAACGGAAUUAGCGGUGUAAGGGUGAAAUCUGUAGAUAUCGCUAAGAACAUCGGUGGCGAAGGCGGUUUCCUGGUCCAAAUCUGACGCUGAAUUGCGAAAGCUAGGGGAGCAAACAGAAUUAGAUACUCUGGUAGUCCUAGCCGUAAACGAUGAGCACUAGGUGUCGGCCCGUAAGGGUCAGUGCCGCAGCUAACGCAUUAAGUGCUCCACCUGGGAACUACGACCGCAAGGUUAAAACUCAAAGGAAUUGACGG
rnacentral:rRNA from 1 species